CAGUAGCCGCGGUAAAACGUAGGGUGCAAGCGUUAAUCGGAAUUACUGGGCGUAAAGCGUGCGCAGGCGGUUAUAUAAGACAGAUGUGAAAUCCCCGGGCUCAACCUGGGAACUGCAUUUGUGACUGUAUAGCUAGAGUACGGCAGAGGGGGAUGGAAUUCCGCGUGUAGCAGUGAAAUGCGUAGAUAUGCGGAGGAACACCGAUGGCGAAGGCAAUCCCCUGGGCCUGUACUGACGCUCAUGCACGAAAGCGUGGGGAGCAAACAGGAUUAGAGACCCCCGUAGUCCCUGUCUCUUAUAC
rnacentral:rRNA from 1 species